rnacentral:rRNA from 1 species
AGUGAACGCUGGCGGUAGGCCUAACACAUGCAAGUCGAACGGCAGCACAGUAAGAGCUUGCUCUUACGGGUGGCGAGUGGCGGACGGGUGAGGAAUACAUCGGAAUCUACUUUUUCGUGGGGGAUAACGUAGGGAAACUUACGCUAAUACCGCAUACGACCUACGGGUGAAAGCAGGGGAUCUUCGGACCUUGCGCGAUUGAAUGAGCCGAUGUCGGAUUAGCUAGUUGGCGGGGUAAAGGCCCACCAAGGCGACGAUCCGUAGCUGGUCUGAGAGGAUGAUCAGCCACACUGGAACUGAGACACGGACCAGACUCCUACGGGAGGCAGCAGUGGCGAAUAUUGGACAAUGGGCGGAAGCCUUAUCCAGCCAUCCCGCGUGUGUGAAGAAGGCCUUCGGGUUGUAAAGACCUUUUGUUGGGAAAGAAAAGCAGCAGGUUAAUACCCCGCUGUUCUGACGGUACCCAAAGAAUAAGCACCGGCUAACUUCGUG